UACCAGCACCCCGAGUGGUCGGGACGUUUAUUGGGCCUAAAGCCUCCGUAGCCGGUUCUACAAGUCUUCCGUUAAAUCCACCUGCUUAACAGAUGGGCUGCGGAAGAUACAAUAGAGCUAGGAGGCGGGAGAGGCAAGCGGUACUCGAUGGGUAGGGGUAAAAUCCGUUGAUCCAUUGAAGACCACCAGUGGCGAAGGCGGCUUGCCAGAACGCGCUCGACGGUGAGGGAUGAAAGCUGGGGGAGCAAACCGG
rnacentral:rRNA from 1 species